CAUACAUAUAUACUGUAUAUACCUUUAUAUACAUAUAUACAUACAUAUAUACUGUAUAUACCUUUAUAUACAUAUAUACAUACAUAUAUACCUAUACUGUAUAUACCUUUAUAUACAUAUAUACAUACAUAUAUACCUAUACUGGCUCACCUGCACUGGCUUCCUGUGCACUUAAGAUGUGACUUUAAGGUUUUACUACUUACGUAUAAAAUACUACACGGUCUAGCUCCAUCCUAUCUUGCCGAUUGUAUUGUACCAUAUGUCCCGGCAAGAAAUCUGCGUUCAAAGGACUCCGGCUUAUUAGUGAUCCCCAAAGCCCAAAAAAAGUCUGCGGGCUGUAGAGCUUUUUCAUUUCGGGCUCCAGUACUCUGGAAUGCCCUUCCGGUAACAGUUGGAGAUGCCACCUCAGUAGAAGCAUUUAAGUCUCACCUUAAAACUCAUCUGUAUACUCUAGCCUUUAAAUAGACCUCCUUUUUAGACCAGUUGAUCUGCCGCUUCUUUUCUUUCUCCUAUGUCCCCCCCUCCCUUGUGGAGGGGGUCCGGUCCAAUGACCAUGGAUGAAGUACUGGCUGUCCAGAGUCGAGACCCAGGAUGGACCGCUCGUCGGGACCCAGGAUGGACCGCUCGCCUGUAUUGGUUGGGGACAUCUCUACGCUGCUGAUCCGCCUCCGCUUGAGAUGGUUUCCGCCUCCGCUUGAGAUGGUUUCCUGUGGACGGGACUCUCGCUGCUGUCUUGGAUCCGCUUGAACUGAACUCUCGCGGCUGUGUUGGAGCCACUAUGGAUUGAACUUUCACAGUAUCAUGUUAGACCCGCUCCACAUCCAUUGCUUUCGGUCCCCUAGAGGGGGGGGGGUUGCCCACAUCUGAGGUCCUCUCCAAGGUUUCUCAUAGUCAGCAUUGUCACUAGCGUCCCACUGGAUGUGAAUUCUCCCUGCCCACUGGGUGUGAGUUUUCCUUGCCCUUUUGUGGGUUCUUCCGAGGAUGUUGUAGUCGUAAUGAUUUGUACAGUCCUUUGAGACAUUUGUGAUUUGGGGCUAUAUAAAGAAACAUUGAUUGAUUGAUUGAUUUAUAUAGUAUUGGAGUGUCGAAAUGACAAAAGGAAAAGCUGGAAAAGGAUGAAGAAGAACUGGUAAAGAAGUGGAAUCAAAUAAAAGAUCAAGAAGGACUGUAAAGUUGCUGAGUAGACUGGUAUAGUGGUGGUGCAUUAAACUGGCAGCAGAUAUAAUAUGUGAUACUUUCUUUUUCUUCCUGCAGUCAUCCCGUCCUGCAGCAUGCACCUAUGUGAAUGUGGAGAAUGACCAGCAAUGUCCAAGGGGUAGCAGCAGGGUAACACUGCAUGAGGCGGUGCCCCCUGAAGGAGCCCAAAACACUGCUCUUCAAAUGGAACACAUCCAACCUUCAGGUGACCGUGCAGGAUGUACCACUCUGGAACAUCAAGCCUCUCCCCACCUGCCAGGUACACCCACCGUCUUCUGUGGCUGAAUAAUGUUUUGCUGUGAAUUUUGUCUCAAAGCAAAUCCUGCUCAAAUGUGACAAACUUUGGAGUGUAAGAAUGUGAGCGAUAUGCUGAGAUGUUAUACGUUUUGCCUUGUGACAAAAUGUUAUCAAAAACCUUUAGUGAUUUGUAUUCUAUUUUACUUUCAGCACAUGAAAAUAUUUCUACUUCUGACCAUCGAAGAGAAUGGAAAACCAUUUUCCAGAUCAGCCCUCAUACAUCCUCCUGAUGGCCUAACAACUGAAUGACAUGUCGAUGCUGAGUAUGAUCCAUUUCAAUCAUUUGAGGAAGCUCUCCCUGAUAUAGGGGAUUGGAUGUACAAUGACGGACAUACGUUUAAUGAAGGAUUUGAAGAUGGUUUGAGUGAGGAGUGUGCAGAAGAGUCCAAUUUCAAGGACACAACAGACAAACCAAUACAUGACAAUGCAUCAGAAACCAUGGCAGAGUGCCUUCUGAUCAGCAUGGGUUAUGUAAACUGUCCUAAAGUCACAGGUAAGGCCCUAAGCCAUAUGCUCAAAAUGUUCAAGUUGCUUUAUCCCGAUAGUCUGAACACAGACUGCUUAAACAGUGUGCAGAAGUUCCAAAACUUUUUUUUAUCCCACUCUGCAUCAUCGCCUACUAUAUUACAUAAAUCCUCCAAGAAUUGUUUUGGGCCAAUAGAAAGUAAACAAAUAAAAUGCCUGCUUUGUGGGACCAGUGUGUCAGAAGAAAGAUUCUCAUCCUUUUUUUAAAGUAUGUACAGAUUGAUUUCUUGUUUACCACAGCACAUUCAUGUGCCAAAUGGGCCCUCGUUGGUGAAUAUAAACAUGCAGGUUUUUCUUUGCUGCAAGAUAGUGUAACAUAUGAGACAUGCAGUCAUGUUAUUCCCCUAUUGGAAACCUCUGCAGUACAGUAGUAUUCUUGGAUGACAUAUUGGGUAAAGUUGUUUUCCUUGACUUCACAUCUAUGCCUGGCAUAGUGAUUGCAGUUCAUUUCCCCAACACACUUGAAAAGUUUGAAAUAAUGAAGAACUGAACUGGCCUAAGAAGCCACAAAUCAAAUCUUUAAUCAUUGUUAUAAAUGCUCUGAAAAUACACACUGAUGUGAUGUUGCCGUGGAUUCUGUAAAUAUGUACUGUAUAUGGAGUAUCAUUGUUGAUGAUGUUUUUGCAUUGUGUGUAAUAUUUCAGUGGCAAAUAUAUUACAUUUACUUGUUUAAUAAAGCCACUGUCCUUUUUAAUGAAUACAUAGGCCUACUAUGCUACUGUAUUUUAAUAUUAGUCCUUAUGAUGGUGGUUGGAGAGCCAAAUAUCUUCUGAAGUGGUACUUUGUUAAAAGAGUUUGAGAACCACUGCUCUAGAAAGUUCACAAAUGUUAAAAGCUCUUACAAAGUGUCUUGUGAUCAUAUCAGUAUUGUUUGGGUUCAGUUUUAAAUCUCACAAUUGUAGUCACUGAGUUACUGUACAUGACGUGUGGAUAAGAAAUCAACAAAUUAAGUCCAACUUUAUUUAAAUAAACCAUUUAGAUUACAGACCAUAUAUCCAUAUUGUCUGAAUUCAUUAUUUUCUCCCAAUGUUGGCAUGAGAUCAACUGGAAUAUGAUUGAGGUAUAACUAAAUUGAGCCCAUUAAAAUGCAUUUUUUUAGAAAACGGGUAUAUCUAACAACUCAAAUAGUGAGCAGUGAGAGACAAAACCAAGUAUAUCUCUCACUGAGACAUCAUUGAGACAUAUUGAAACCAAUACUCAUCAAUUGUCUUUUUGCCGAAAUAGAAAAGAGACAUCUGAGAACUCAAACAGUGAGUAGUGAGAAACAAAACCAGGUGUUUCUCUCACUGAGUCAUAAUUGAGACAUAUUGGAGACCAGCUCAUUCAUCUCUCAUUUUGGUCUUAGUUGAAAUGGGGAAAAGAGAUAACUAUUAGACAACUAUGAGAUCUCUCAUAGUGCUCACUGUGAGCCUUAUUUCUCAGGAGAUACAUUUGAGAAGAAUGAGAAAACUACUUUGGUCUCCAUUAGUGCUCUUUUAUGUCUAGGAGAUAUAUAUAAGACAUACAUGAGAUCUCAUCUUCAAUUUUGCUUUGCUAUGGGAAACAAGAGUUUGAUGAGCAUUCCUCAACUUUUUCGGUCUUUUUUGACACUCGUGCCAGCUUUUUUAAAGCAUGUUGCAGGCAUCAAAUUCCAAAAUGAGCUAAUAUUUGCAAAAAAAAAAAGUUUCUCAGAUCCAACAUCAAAUAUCUUGUCUUUGCAGUCUAUUCAAUUGAAUAUAAGUUAAAAAGGAUUUACAAAUCAUUGUAUUCUGUUUUUAUUUACCAUUUACACAACGUGCUACUUCACUGGUUUGGGGUUUUGUACAUGUUGACAGUACAUUGCAGUGUUAUUUUGUUACAGCCGUGCCCACUGUGUGAAGUACUUUUGCAAGACUCCUAGCAAUAAUAAUACACUUCACCAAAGAGCCUGCUGUAAAAGAAAUGACCAUUGAAUGAAGAUACAUACUCAGGUCACCGUGAUCUGAAAAGGAGAGUGAAGAAUGUUUUUGUAUUCCCCAGAUUCUAAUCAUCUUGGAUGAAUAAACAAGCAAUUCCUAAUUUCACUUGGAAAUGUGUUUACUAUAAAAGUGUAGCACUGUUUCCACACAAAAUACCUUCUGUUUUUGAAAAGAUGCCCAUGUGUGUCUUCCAGGUUGAACAUUCCACCCUUUGUGCCUGCCCGGACUGUGCUGGAAGGCCUCGAGUCAGAGGAUGCGUGUGAAGACAAGAAAGCUGUAAAAAAGGAGAUCCAUAGCAAAAAGGUCAAAUAAGUACAAACAAGUAUUUUACCUCGAUUAUUAACAGUUUAUUUUGCCCAAAAAUGUUAAGGGAGCCAAAAAGGACAAAAUGGAAGAGGAGAAUACAGACCUGCUCAGACUUUGCCACACAGUACCGCUGGAGGUGGUGAACUUAGGUAAGAAUCCAUGUUUCAAGGUUGAUCGGGGUGGGGGGAAGACAACGACACAAAGGUGCUCCUCUUAUUUAGACUUUUUGUUUAUGGAGGUGGGAAAGGUUACGAUCCAGAGAAGAAAGACUACUCAGGUUUUGAGGCCUGGUUGCAGUGUUACUAUGUGGAUGGAAUGAAGUCUGUACGCGACCACAAUGGCAGGACUAUGUGGUUCAAAGUAUGCAAACACAUUUUCAUACGUAACAACUAUAUUUGUAGCACGUAUUGACUAAUAGAAAAUGGUGUCAUUUCAGGGCGAUCCAGGUCCUAUGGCUCCUAAAGGUAAACGCCAGAAAAAAUAGUUGAGAUACCAUUACACAUAAGAGAAAGCUUAGUGUGUCUUUAUCUUUUCUCACACACCAGAAUCAAAGUCUCCAAAGGCCAAAAAGAGAAAAGAUACAGAUGCAGACCAUGAUUACCCCCGCAAGAAAAAGGUAUAUUCAGUAGGUAAUCACCACCAGCACAUAGAAAUCUAACCCCAUUGUGGCUGUACUUCAGGUGUCCAGGAAACACAACUCUGACAGCACAGUGAAGAAAAAAGCAGCCAAAAAGCCCACAAAAGCAGCAAAGGAAGAAGAAAAUGGACCUCAAGAAGAAGCCACACCCAGAAGAAGAUCAGCAAACACACCUCAGCAAGAACCGAAAUCCACGUCAGGCAGGAGGAAAAAGAACAAUACAGAGCCAGCUGCAGGUCUGAUUCUAAUAAUACUCCCAUUUUCUGAAAAUAUUAAGAGCCUGAUCUUUGAGGAUCCAAUUCCCACACACUUAUCUGUGUGCGCAAACUAUAAAAUUGCAUGUACUGUU